GAUGAACGCUGGCGGCGUGCCUAAUACAUGCAAGUCGAGCGAACGGACGAGAAGCUUGCUUCUCUGAUGUUAGCGGCGGACGGGUGAGUAACACGUGGAUAACCUACCUAUAAGACUGGGAUAACUUCGGGAAACCGGAGCUAAUACCGGAUAAUAUUUUGAACCGCAUGGUUCAAAAGUGAAAGACGGUCUUGCUGUCACUUAUAGAUGGAUCCGCGCUGCAUUAGCUAGUUGGUAAGGUAACGGCUUACCAAGGCAACGAUGCAUAGCCGACCUGAGAGGGUGAUCGGCCACACUGGAACUGAGGCACGGUCCCGACUCCUACGGGAGGGAGCAGUAGGGAAUCUUCCGCAAUGGGCGAAAGCCUGACGGAGCAACGGCGCGUGAGGUAUGAAGGUCUUCGGAUCGUAAAACUCUGUUAUUAGGGAAGAACAUAUGUGUAAGUAACUGUGCACAUCUUGACGGUACCUAAUCAGAAAGCCACGGCUAACUACGUG
rnacentral:rRNA from 1 species